rnacentral:rRNA from 1 species
AGCCUGAAGAACUUAUUUUAGGUGAAUUCUGCCCAGCGUAUUAUUAGCGGCCGCAGUACCUUGACUGUGCUAAGGUAGCAUAAUCAAUUGGCUUUUAAUUGAAGUCUGGAAUGAAAGGUUAAAUAAAGAAUUAGCUGUCUCUUUUAAAUUUAUUUGAAUUUAUUUAUGAAGUGAAAAUACUUCUACUAAGAAAAAAGACGAGAAGACCCUUAGAAUUUUCAUUAAUUAAGGUUUAUAAUUUUUUUAUUUUUGUUGGGGCGACAAUAAAACAUUUUUAAACUUUUAAUAAUUACAAGUCAUUUUUUUUUGUUAGAUUAAAUUACCUUAGGGAUAACAGCAUAAUAAAAUUUUUAGCUUGUGACCUCGAUGUUGGACUAGGAACUAGAAGACUAACAGUCAAAAUAGAAUGUUCUGUUCGAACAAAAACUUCCU